CCUACGGGAGGCAGCAGUAGGGAAUAUUGGUCAAUGGACGGAAGUCUGAACCAGCCAUUCCGCGUGCAGGAAGAAGGUCCUAUGGACUGUAAACUGCUUUUAGCAGAGAAGAAACGCCUUCAUUUAUGAGGGUCUGACGGUAUCUGCGGAAUAAGC
rnacentral:rRNA from 1 species